rnacentral:lncRNA from 1 species
GGCUGGAGUGCAGUGGCGCGAUCUUGGCUCACUGCAAGCUCUGACUUUCGGGUUCACGCCAUUCUCCUGCCUCAGCCUCCCGAGUAGCUGGGACUACAGGUGCCUGCCAGCACGCCCGGCUAAUUUUUUAUAUUUUUAGUAGAGACGGGGUUUCACCGUGUUAACCAGGAUGGUCUCAAUCUCCUGACCUCGUGAUCCGCCCGCCUCGGCCUCCCAAAGUGCUGGGAUUACAGGCCUGAGCGACCGCGCCCGGCCCUAUAUGUAGUUUUUUGAGAACCCUUCAUACUGCUUUCUAUAAUGGCUAUACUAAUUUACGUUCCCAUAAACAGUGUUCUUGACUGUUCUAUUUCUACCAUGUUGUUACAUCAGCAUUGGCUCUUGUCGUUGGUUUGUUUCCUUAGAAUUGCCAGGUAGAAACUGGAAAUUCUAAUUGACUCAAUUGUUUUUAUUUCAGUCAUAUAAUCUUCUGGCCAAGUCUUACAGGGUAGAAACUGGAACCACUGUCUUGAAUCAAAAGAUGGAAGAAGCUUCUCUUGAAGAUUAAAGGGACACAAGACAGAAGUUGUCUGUGUCCCUGAGGGCUUAGCAGAGGAGACUUGACCUACUUUCUUGGGCUUGUUGUGACAUCUAUUUUGUUUAAGAAUUACAAUGUUCCUGAAAAGCCACUUUCCUGAGAAGAACUGCAACAGAUUUUCAUGAUAUCAAGAAGGCUUUAUGUUCCUGUAAGAAAGUUUGGCUGUAAGUUCCUAUCAAGAUUCUACAAGAUUGUGUGACUGCAAAAAUACCCUUUGAAGUAGUUGGUCCAGAAACACUGAAGGUUUGUAUAGAAGAGACAGACCUUCCACCCUGUCUCUUCUAUCACACAGCAAUGACUGAUAAACUGGAAAAUUUAAAGAAGACAUAAAGGCUAAAUUCCAUGACAAAUCAUGUCAGUGGACUAGUCUAAAUGGAAGUGCAAAACAGUAAGUGUGCACUGAAGUGCAAAACCAACUGAGUUCUACAUGACCGAAUAUAAGCAUAGAUCGCCAGGAAUUCAGCUCCUACAAAGAAAAUUGGAACCAAUGUGUAUUGACCCUUGCCAAAAAGUAGAGACUGUUUUGGCUAUGAAAAUAGUCCUGGUCACAGCUCCCACCAAAAAAUGAAAACUUAAAAAUAAUGAUAAUUUUAAAAGCUGGGAUGUAUUUUUUAGGGCCGAGGAAAGUUUCGCACUGAGUUACUUGAGAUAAUGGGAGAAAACUAAGACAACUGUGCAGCCACCACAGGUAACUCAGGAACUGGAUAGUAUGCCCAGUUAGGAUUAGAGACUUGAGAUGUCUUAUGUAGCAAUAAACUGAGGCUAUCAGUGGCAUGCAAAGUAAACCCAAAGAAAGCAGAAAGGAAAUAAAAAGUACUAAAGGUAAAAUCAGUAAUUUUAAAAAGAAUAUAUAACCCAAUAGAAUCAAAGUUUAGUUCUCCAAA